CUGAGGUUCAAUUUACAGCACAAUCCAUUCAGCCCUUGGAGGUUCUGACACAAACUGAAUGUUAGGACCAUUUUCCCUCCCCAGUGCCACUUUAAGGGGCUUUUAGGGAUGACCACUGAGAGUCUGAGAUGUUCUGAGCAACACUGCCUCAUCUUUCAUCCAAAGUUGGCUGGCAAAGGAUCCAUGAGACUAUGCAAAGCACUCACCAGUGUUCCCAUGUUUUGAGAUUUGCACGCCUUUGAUAUUUUGACGGGAAAAGAGCAUCACCACAAAACAAGCCGCUAGAGGAUUAAAGGAGAUUUAUCACCCAGAAGGGUUCUAGGUAUCAUGGUUAACUGAGGUUUACUCACUUCGGAGAGAAUGCCCCAGUGGGAGAAAAUGUAACCUGAUUGGUCUUGAAAGAGAAUGCCAGCCCAAAUAAGAAUAAACAAACAAACAAAUGGACAGAGAAUCUCAGGAGGAGAAUAGAAUUAA